rnacentral:rRNA from 1 species
GCAGCAGCCGCGGUAAUACGUAGGUGGCAAGCGUUGUCCGGAAUUAUUGGGCGUAAAGGGCUCGCAGGCGGUUUCUUAAGUCUGAUGCGAAAGCCCCCGGCUCAACCGGGGAGGGUCAUUGGAAACUGGGAAACUUGAGUGCAGAAGAGGAGAGUGGAAUUCCACGUGUAGCGGUGAAAUGCGUAGAGAUGUGGAGGAACACCAGUGGCGAAGGCGACUCUCUGGUCUGUAACCGACGCUGAGGAGCGAAAGCGUGGGGAGCGAACAGGAUUAGAUACCCGUGUAGUCCCUGUCUCUUAUAC